CUACGUGCCAGCAGCCGCGGUAAUACGGAAGGUCCAGGCGUUAUCCGGAUUUAUUGGGUUUAAAGGGAGCGUAGGCCGUGGAUUAAGCGUGUUGUGAAAUGUAGACGCUCAACGUCUGAAUUGCAGCGCGAACUGGUUCACUUGAGUAUGCACAACGUAGGCGGAAUUCGUSGUGUAGCGGUGAAAUGCUUAGAUAUGACGAAGAACUCCGAUUGCGAAGGCAGCUGACGGGAGCGCAACUGACGCUUAAGCUCGAAGGUGCGGGUAUCGAACAGGAUUAGAUACCCUGGUAGUCCGCNCAGUAAACGAUGGAUGCCCGCUGUUGGUACCUGGUAUCAGCGGCUAAGCGAAAGCAUUAAGCAUCCCACCUGGGGAGUACGCCGGCAACGGUGAAACUCAAAGGAAUUGACGGGGGCCCGCACAAGCGGUGGAGCAUGUGGUUUAAUUCGAAGCAACGCGAAGAACCUUACCAGGUCUUGAC
rnacentral:rRNA from 1 species